rnacentral:lncRNA from 1 species
AGUCACAUGACCCCAACUUAACUGCAAGGGAUGCUGGGCAAUAUAGUCCAGUAGUGUGGCUAGCAGGAAAAUUAAAGGGGUUUGGUGAAUCCAUUGCUCCUGCCAUCACCCAGAUUAAAGACCUGCCCUCUCAUCCGCAAAACGGGGAGUGUCUGCUGGGGAAAUCUCUAAGAUGAAAGCCACUUUGUCACCUUCUUCCUUCCUGCUUGGGACACACAUGUAAUGCUUGGCACUGCUCCCCCUAUCUUGUCACCAUGAGAUGACAGCCAAGAGGAGAAAAAGCCAAAACAGAGAGGAUGACAGUGAAGAAAGAGGAAAAGUGGUUAAACCUCACAUGACAUCAUGGAAACCUGAACAAAGGCACAGAACCACAGAUUUCCCAAUUCUUGCGAAGGAAGCAAUUCAUGUUCCUUCUGGGUGAAGCUGCUGCUGGUUGGGUAUUUAUCCUUCUAGAGCUGAAGCAUCCUGAGUAAUGCAGUGCAAAUCAGAAAUUGAAAUAAAUGAAGCACGUCUUGAGCAGUGUCAUGGCAAAGGAGUCUGGCUUGUAGAAUGUCUGUCUCUGGAAAUUUGGAGAGCUGGGAGCAGGAGAUGUGAUCGUGGUUCACAACUGCAGCUGGUUUGGGUUGAGUUCUCUCAGUACCAAUACAAGGCGGAUCGAAAUCAGCAAAAUCAACACCAAAGUCACUACUACAAGAGGCAAAGCAUUAGGAUACAAGACACCGGACUUUCAAAUCAACAAUUGUUUCAAAAGACUCCUACUGGAUUCCUGCUAGUGAUGGGAGAAAAUUAUCAUUCUGUGAGUUGUCAAUAAAUGUUUAACCACA